UUGUGGCAGAUAGGACAAGAUGUGCCAUUUGACAAGGCAAUACUGAUUGCAGUUUUUGAACUUAAUUCUAGGCAAAGACUGCACAGGAGAUCACCCUUUGAGGAAACAUUCCAAAAGGACAUCGAUGUGCAGGCAGACGGGGACCCAAACCCAGAUAAAAUAAGACCAUAUAAGGUGUGGAUACGUAACAGAAAAGAUAACUCUGUGAUUAAAGAGACCAUGAAGCGAAAGGCACUAAGAAAAUUAAAUCCAAGAAGGAGAAGGACGGCAAGAUCGAGGAAUUAUUCUGAACAGUUGCACUAUGCAAAUUGUCAUCUUUGCAUCGAAUUUCAUGUAAAUACAUGGUUUUCAUAUAGUGCAUAUACA